AAAAGAAACUAACAAGGAUUCCCCUAGUAACUGCGAGUGAAGUGGGAAAAGCUCAAAUUUAAAAUCUGACAGUCUUUGACUGUCUGAGUUGUAACCUAGAGAAGUGCUACCUGUGCUGGACCAUGUAUAAGUCUCCUGGAAUGGAGUGUCAGAGAGGGUGAGAAUCCCGUCCUUGACAUGGACUGCCAGUGCAUUGUGGUGUGCUCUCAAAGAGUCGAGUUGUUUGGGAAUGCAGCUCUAAAUGGGUGGUAAAUUCCAUCUAAAGCUAAAUAUUGGCGAGAGACCGAUAGUGAACAAGUACCGUGAGGGAAAGAUGAAAAGAACUUUGGAAAGAGAGUUAAACAGUACGUGAAAUUGUUGAAAGGGAAACAUUUGAAGUCAGUUGUGUUAGCUGGGGAUCAACCUGGCUUUUCUGCUUGGGUGUAUUUCCUGGUUGACAGGCCAACAUCAGUUUUGACCAUUAGAAAAAGACCAAGGAAAUGUGGCACCUUUGGGUGUGUUAUAGUCCUUGGUUGUAUGUGAUGGUUAGGACUGAGGCAUGCAGCACACUACUAGGCUGGGCUUUGCCACAUUUGUGCUUAGGAUGUUGGCAUAAUGGCUUUAAGUGACC
rnacentral:rRNA from 1 species